rnacentral:rRNA from 1 species
UAGGAGUGGCGGCGUGCUAUACAUGCAGUCGAGCGAACAGAUAAGGAGCUUGCUCCUUUGACGUUAGCGGCGGACGGGUGAGUAACACGUGGAUAACCUACCUAUAAGACUGGGAUAACUUCGGGAAACCGGAGCUAAUACCGGAUAACAUAUUGAACCGCAUGGUUCAAUAGUGAAAGGCGGCUUUGCUGUCACUUAUAGAUGGAUCCGCGCCGUAUUAGCUAGUUGGUAAGGUAACGGCUUACCAAGGCAACGAUACGUAGCCGACCUGAGAGGGUGAUCGGCCACACUGGAACUGAGACACGGUCCAGACUCCUACGGGAGGCAGCAGUAGGGAAUCUUCCGCAAUGGGCGAAAGCCUGACGGAGCAACGCCGCGUGAGUGAUGAAGGUCUUCGGAUCGUAAAACUCUGUUAUCAGGGAAGAACAAAUGUGUAAGUAACUGUGCACAUCUUGACGGUACCUGAUCAGAAAGCCACGGCUAACUACGUGCCAGCAGCCGCGGUAAUACGUAGGUGGCAAGCGUUAUCCGGAAUUAUUGGGCGUAAAGCGCGCGUAGGCGGUUUUUUAAGUCUGAUGUGAAAGCCCACGGCUCAACCGUGGAGGGUCAUUGGAAACUGGAAAACUUGAGUGCAGAAGAGGAAAGUGGAAUUCCAUGUGUAGCGGUGAAAUGCGCAGAGAUAUGGAGGAACACCAGUGGCGAAGGCGACUUUCUGGUCUGUAACUGACGCUGAUGUGCGAAAGCGUGGGGAUCAAACAGGAUUAGAUACCCUGGUAGUCCACGCCGUAAACGAUGAGUGCUAAGUGUUAGGGGGUUUCCGCCCCUUAGUGCUGCAGCUAACGCAUUAAGCACUCCGCCUGGGGAGUACGACCGCAAGGUUGAAACUCAAAGGAAUUGACGGGGACCCGCACAAGCGGUGGAGCAUGUGGUUUAAUUCGAAGCAACGCGAAGAACCUUACCAAAUCUUGACAUCCUUUGACUGCUCUAGAGAUAGAGUUUUCCCCUUCGGGGGACAAAGUGACAGGUGGUGCAUGGUUGUCGUCAGCUCGUGUCGUGAGAUGUUGGGUUAAGUCCCGCAACGAGCGCAACCCUUAAAGCUUAGUUGCCAUCAUUAAGUUGGGA